UAAUGUGUUUAGUGUUUAGACUUUAUUGUUGCUUGUGAGUUGCUGCCUGCAUUAAUCUCACUUAUAGCAUCUGUAUUCCAUAUUGUAAGAUAAUAUUUAAGCAUUUGUAUUGUAAGCCUCUGUGACUGUGUAACAAACUCACCAGACAGGAGAGAAACAUUAAGUAGUAUUAAGUGCUGAUCUCCAACAGAAGGUGUUACAUCUUGGCCACCAAGGAAGGCCCAUUGACGCCAGGCGUACCAUUGGGGAACAUUAAAGAGGACAAAAGACUUUGUUGCUCAUCUCUUCCCCCCCACCCCAGGGAGAUGAGUCAUGAAAGUGGAUUCCUUCCAUCAGUUGAGUUUGCAGCUCAGAGCACAUGUGGGGAAGGGAGUAAAAACCCCUCACAAGAAGGAACGGUAUCUCUAUGCUGCUUGGACUCUGGGUGGCAGGUUUUCUAGACAUAAGUAAGAGAACCCCAGUGCUUAGCCAAGGUUAGCCCUAAAGGACAUAUAGAGUUCGCUGAUUAUAGAAGCUUCUAUCACCUUUUGAAACUUAAGAUUGUAACUCAUUUGUGUAUCUGUGUAUCAUUUGUGCUUUAACAUUAUAAAUAAUUCUCUUAUAUUCCUUAAAUAGGAAAAGGAAAUGUGUACAUUUUAUUAUAGGAUUGGCUACAAGCAUUAUCUUUGGUGUGAGAUCUAGGAUACAAUUGACCGGGGGUAAGUGACGGGAUAUUGCUGUGAUUCUUGGUGUAAAGAACCACCUAUCACAAAGGUAAGUUUACCUGGGUGGCAAGAUAGAAUGGAAGUACCCAAGGGGAUUGUCAGUGACUCUAUAUUAAGGCUGUUAUAGGGCCUGGGGAGUUUCCACUUGAUAACUGGUUGGUGAAAUAAAUACAAAACUCACAGCCAACUUGGGAUUUGUACCCUGCCUCUUAACAGUCUGCCCUGAGGUGGGUACUUGUGCACUUGAGACACUGCAGGGCAGCUUGAUAAGAAGGACUCAGCAUCACCUCCCAGCUCUCGGCAAAGCCUUGGUCCCAGCACCACAGGUAACGGUAUCCUCUGUCUGAAUCCCAGGGCUGAGAAGGGUCAGGGGCUACUGGGUUAGGCUGCAUAAGCAAAACUGCAUCAGGAAGCCGCAGAGCAGCUGCAGGACGCGGGGGGUGAAUGGAGGGCUAGCAAUGAUGUUCCCCAUGUGCUGCUAGUUCCGUUUGCAGUGUGAGAUUGUCAGCUGUUAACUGCCCUGGGCAAGGGCCAUGCUCUUACUAAUCUUAGUUUGUCUGCUGACAGAUCAGUUCUCGCUUCAUGUUUACAAAUCCCAAACAAGAUUUGGUGAGAGCUCCAGAAAAUGAACUUGUGUGCCAGCAGGGACCUCGCUUUAUGGCAUUUGUGUUACAGCAGUGGAGGGAGACUCCUCCAGGGAGGCAGAGGGGGGUCUUUGACUUCCCUGCUAGGUGUCAGAGCUAGGAUAAUCUCCUCCUGCUGCUGGAAAUUGGCUUUGAACCCCAUCGCUUGUCAGUUCUACCUCCCUGCUUGCAGAACUUCCCUAACUAGGACCCGAGCAGGAAAUAGGGAACUUGCUGAAGCCCGGUUGAGUCAAUUUGGCAGAGCCUCUGACAGCUGGGAGGCCCCUGCUGUGAGCAGCAAGAUGGACCCAGCGGGGCCAAAGGCAAAGACUGGUUUGCUCCAUCACACGGAGCACGGACAGGCCUCGCAUACGAGCUCUGAUGCAGGCAAAGUGGAAAUGCAGCGCACAUGUGGGAGAACAUCUGUGUCCUACGCACAGUCCUGCCAUCGCCCAGCAGUAAAAGCCUUCUCCUGGCUAGGAACCACCUGGAAGAGAUCUUGCAAAUGCCUAUCAGCAGGCUGCAGAACCACCUGAUCACCUACUGGUCCUGUGAAGAAUCUCUCCCCACUCCCAUGGUGUUCGUCUUGUCCUGCAAAGAGCCCCCUAGAUGUGCCUGGUACUUUACGAAGCACAUACGUUCUGCCUACCCAAGUCACUGACAGUCUAAGUGAAGGAUACAACAGGAGGAGGAGAGAAGAACACGAAGAAGGAUCCCGCUGCAUUCGGAAUUCUUGGGCCACAACUACAACACGGAAGAGAGCAUCAUCCAGGCAACCUACGUGCAGGAACCUAAUACAGAAACAGAGAUCACAGUGAACUCCUCAAACACUUUCUGCUGUCAAAUCCCAGCUCCACUUGCCAACCAGAACUUCUCUCUGUUCUUUCAAUGAGAGAAGAUAUUCUUCAUUUCCCUGCCUAGAAACUGAUGCUGGUGCAAAUGGUUGCCCUGUUCUAAUCCAGAGGUGGCUGCAUUUUAGUGAUGUCUGAGUAAUCCUUAUGUAUAUAGACAGCCUGUAAAAUGCGCUAGGACUCUCCAGGAAGAAAGAUACUAUACUGAUCUCUGUUAUUAUUACUAUUGUUAUUUCUGCUCCUCCACAUAGAUGGGUAUCUAUCAGGCUUUGUUCUAUACAUUAGAAGUAAACCAUAAAGCUUAUUGUCUGCAGACAAUAGCUGCUGCUUUUGCAUCUGUCUUGCUGAAUGUACACACGUAUAGAAAAUGAGCUAAUGAUUUUUGCACGUAUUUUAUUCCUGUGUAGACCAGAGCAAACAUUCCAAUGCUGCCUCCAUUGCCAGCAAAUUGAUAAUCAUCAAUAUAUCGAUCAUUACAUAGAACCACAUGUCAGACAAACAAUUGGCAGGUGGGCUGUAAGUCAUAUAUGCACAUUGGGCUGAAGUCCUAGGAACACUCUCUCCCAUGUGUGCUGGCGGGUCCUGAGGAGAGCUUAGGAAAUUCUGUAGAGUAAGGCAGCAUCCUGGUGUUGAUGGUGCGAGCUGUUGAAAUGGAGAGUCCUACCUAUACAUGGCACCAGCUCCCUCAUAGCUCAGGGGGCCUCAUAAGCUGAGAUCCCAGCAAUGAAAGAAAAAAUCCCCACAACUCUUAGCAGCUGUGAUGACAACCCUGAAGCCAGCAUUAGGAGACAGCAUGCCCAAUUCUCCAUGCAAAAUACCUUCACUGAUGUAAAUCAGCACCGCUCCACUGAAAUCAACAGUGCUACAUGUGAUGUCACUACUGCCCUGGGUCAGAGAUCAACUCCCAAGGCCAGGGAAACUCAGAAUUAAGCUCGCAGAGGCUCAGUCCAUAAUUGCCCCAGACGUCUCUGGUUUUGAGUGUAAGGGUAUGCCAGCCUCCGACAGUAUCUAGAUAGUAAUGAAUAGAACUGGUUAGACAAUGGGGAUUUUCUCCAUGGACAAUUUUGAGCUUCAUCGAAAUAUCAAAAUUUAGAAUAUUUCCAUUCUGAAAUGCUUCUGCAGUGCCUCAUGGGAGUUGUAGUUCAAGUGCUUCUUGCUCCCAUUCUCCUCUAUAGGUUGGACUACAUCUUCCACGAUGCACCAUGCUCUGCCCUCGUGGCGCAUCAUGGCAGUCACAUGGAAAGCAGACACUUCUCAUGACAAAUGUCAUUUAGUUGAAAACCCAAUUUUCUGUUGACAAAUGGUUUUGACAAAAAGUUUUCGACCAGCCCUACCGGAGAGCUAGGCCUUAGGGUGCAGCCUCUCCCUGCAUUCCCUUAAUUUUGUAGGAUGAAGCCAAAUCCUUGCUGUCCCUUUGAUGCAUUUCUUGUAGUUUGAUAAUAAAGUGACUUGUGCCCCUUUUUUCAUGUUGCUAAAGGAAAGGAAGAGAUGUGAGACAG